UGGGGAAUAUUGCGCAAUGGGGGCAACCCUGACGCAGCAACGCCGCGUGCGGGACGACGGCCUUCGGGUUGUAAACCGCUUUCAGCAGGGAAGAUAGUGACGGUACCUGCAGAAGAAGCUCCGGCUAAAUACGUUCCAGCAGCCGCGGUAAUACGUAUGGAGCAAGCGUUAUCCGGAUUCAUUGGGCGUAAAGCGCUCGUAGGCGGUCUGUUAGGUCAGCAAGGUAAAUCCGGGGGCUCAACCCCCGUCCGCUUCCGAUACCGGCAGACUUGAAUUUGGUAGAAGAAGGUGGAAUUCCUAGUGUAGCGGUGGAAUGCGCAGAUAUUAGGAAGAACACCAGUGGCGAAGGCAGCCUACUAGGCCAUAACUGACGCUGAGGGGCGAAAGCUAGGGGAGCGAACAGG
rnacentral:rRNA from 1 species